UAGAUUUGUAUCCCGAUAUAGGAAGGAU
rnacentral:sRNA from 1 species